CCUACGGGUGACAGCAGUGAGGAAUAUUGGUCAAUGGACGUAAGCCUGAACCAGCCAAGUCGCGUGCGGGAUGACGGCUCUAUGGGUUGUAAACCUCUUUUAUACGGGAAUAAAGCUCGGUACGUGUCUCGUGUUGUAUGUACCUUAUGAAUAAGGAUCGGCUAACUCCGUGCCAGCAGCCGCGGUAAUACGGAGGAUCCGAGCGUUAUCCGGAUUUAUUGGGUUUAAAGGGUGCGUAGGCGGCUUUGUAAGUCAGAGGUGAAAGUCUGUGGCUUAACCCUGGAAUUGCCGUUGAAACUGGUGGGCGAGAGGAUGGUUGCGGCAGGCGGAAUGUGUGGUGUAGCGGUGAAAUGCUUAGAGAUCACGCAGAACCCCGAUUGCGAAGGCAGCCUGCCAAGCCAUGACUGACGUUGAGGCACGAAAGCGUGGGGAGCAAACAGGAUUAGAUACCCUGGUAGUC
rnacentral:rRNA from 1 species